rnacentral:rRNA from 1 species
UGGGGAAUAUUGCACAAUGGGCGCAAGCCUGAUGCAGCCAUGCCGCGUGUAUGAAGAAGGCCUUCGGGUUGUAAAGUACUUUCAGCGGGGAGGAAGGUGUUGUGGUUAAUAACCACAGCAAUUGACGUUACCCGCAGAAGAAGCACCGGCUAACUCCGUGCCAGCAGCCGCGGUAAUACGGAGGGUGCAAGCGUUAAUCGGAAUUACUGGGCGUAAAGCGCACGCAGGCGGUCUGUCAAGUCGGAUGUGAAAUCCCCGGGCUCAACCUAGGAACUGCAUCCGAAACUGGCAGGCUUGAGUCUUGUAGAGGGGGGUAGAAUUCCAGGUGUAGCGGUGAAAUGCGUAGAGAUCUGGAGGAAUACCGGUGGCGAAGGCGGCCCCCUGGACAAAGACUGACGCUCAGGUGCGAAAGCGUGGGGAGCAAACA